rnacentral:rRNA from 1 species
AGUGAACGCUGGCGGUAGGCCUAACACAUGCAAGUCGAACGGCAGCACAGUAAGAGCUUGCUCUUACGGGUGGCGAGUGGCGGACGGGUGAGGAAUACAUCGGAAUCUACUUUUUCGUGGGGGAUAACGUAGGGAAACUUACGCUAAUACCGCAUACGACCUACGGGUGAAAGCAGGGGAUCGUCGGACCUUGCGCGAUUGAAUGAGCCGAUGUCGGAUUAGCUAGUGGGCGGGGUAAAGGCCCACCACGGCGACGAUCGGUAGCUGGUCUGAGAGGAUGAUCAGCCACCCUGGAACUGAGACACGGUCCAGACUCCUACGGGAGGCAGGAGUGGGGAAUAUUGGACAAUGGGCGCAAUCCUGAUCCAGCCAUACCGCGUCGGUGAAGAAGGCCUUCGGGUUGUAAAGCCCUUUUGUUGGGAAAGAAAAGCAGCAGGUUAAUACCCCGCUGUUCUGACGGUACCCAAAGAAUAAGCACCGGCUAACUUCGUG